rnacentral:rRNA from 1 species
AUUGAACGCUGGCGGCAGGCUUAACACAUGCAAGUCAAGCGGAGAGAAGUAGCUUGCUACUGAUCUUAGCGGCGGACGGGUGAGUAAUGCUUAGGAAUCUGCCUAUUAGUGGGGGACAACAUUCCGAAAGGAAUGCUAAUACCGCAUACGCCCUACGGGGGAAAGCAGGGGAUCUUCGGACCUUGCGCUAAUAGAUGAGCCUAAGUCGGAUUAGCUAGUUGGUGGGGUAAAGGCCUACCAAGGCGACGAUCUGUAGCGGGUCUGAGAGGAUGAUCCGCCACACUGGGACUGAGACACGGCCCAGACUCCUACGGGAGGCAGCAGUGGGGAAUAUUGGACAAUGGGCGGAAGCCUGAUCCAGCCAUGCCGCGUGUGUGAAGAAGGCCUUUUGGUUGUAAAGCACUUUAAGCGAGGAGGAGGCUACCUGGAUUAAUACUCUAGGAUAGUGGACGUUACUCGCAGAAUAAGCACCGGCUAACUCUGUGCCAGCAGCCGCAGUAACAC